rnacentral:rRNA from 1 species
GACGAACGCUGGCGGCGUGCUUAACACAUGCAAGUCGAACGAUGAAGCCGGAGCUUGCUCUGGUGAAUUAGUGGCGAACGGGUGAGUAACACGUGAGUAACCUGCCCUUGACUCUGGGAUAACUGCGGGAAACUGUAGCUAAUACCGGAUACGACCCUCGGAGGCAUCUCCUGGGGGUGGAAAGAAUUUCGGUCAAGGAUGGACUCGCGGCCUAUCAGCUAGUUGGUGAGGUAAAGGCUCACCAAGGCGACGACGGGUAGCCGGCCUGAGAGGGUGACCGGCCACACUGGGACUGAGGCACGGCCCAGACUCCUACGGGAGGCAGCAGUGGGGAAUAUUGCACAAUGGGCGCAAGCCUGAUGCAGCAACGCCGCGUGAGGGAUGACGGCCUUCGGGUUGUAAACCUCUUUUAGCAGGGAAGAAGCGAAAGUGACGGUACCUGCAGAAAGAGCACCGGCUAACUACGUGCCAGCCGCCGCAGUAA